AGUGAACGCUGGCGGUAGGCCUAACACAUGCAAGUCGAACGGCAGCACAGUAAGAGCUUGCUCUUACGGGUGGCGAGUGGCGGACGGGUGAGGAAUACAUCGGAAUCUACUUUUUCGUGGGGGAUAACGUAGGGAAACUUACGCUAAUACCGCAUACGACCUACGGGUGAAAGCAGGGGAUCUUCGGACCUUGCGCGAUUGUAUGAGCCGAUGUCGGAUUAGCUAGUUGGCGGGGUAAAGGCCCACCAAGGCGACGAUCCGUAGCUGGUCUGAGAGGAUGAUCAGCCACACUGGAACUGAGACACGGUCCAGACUCCUACGGGAGGCAGCAGUGGGGAAUAUUGGACAAUGGGAGCAAGCCUGAUCCAGACAUACCGCGUGGGUGAAGAAGGCAUUCGGGUUGUAAAGCCCUUUUGUUGGGAAAGAAAAGCAGCAGGUUAAUACCCCGCUGUUCUGACGGUACCCAAAGAAUAAGCACCGGCUAACUUCGUG
rnacentral:rRNA from 1 species